CUAGGAUUAGAUACCCUAUUAUUUAAAAUGUAANNNNNNNAAACUAAAGUAUUAAUAGAUAUGUUCUUUAAACUUAAAAAAUUUGGCGGUAUUUUAGUCUAUUCAGAGGAACCUGUAUUAUAAUCGAUAAUCCACGUUGGACCUUACUUUAAUUUAUAAAUUAGUUUAUAUACCGUCGUUAUAAAAAAUUUUAUAAGAAUAAUAAUUUUUAANNNNNNNNNNNNNNAAUUUUAUAUCAGAUCAAGGUGUAGCUUAUGUUAAAGUAAAUUAUGGGUUACAAUAAAAUUAUUUAUAUGAAUAUAAAAAUGAAAAAUUUAUUGAAAGAGGAUUUGAAAGUAAAAUUAAAGAGAUUUUUAAUUUGAUUUUAGCUCUAAAAUAUGUACAUAUCGCCCGUCACUCUUAUUAUUAAAAUAAGAUAAG
rnacentral:rRNA from 1 species